UAGGGAACCUUUCCUGGGUCCUCUUGCGAUGUUCCAAGGCGCCCAGGAGACAUUUCAUUGCCGCCACUGUUCAUGGCUUGGUACACCCCUGAGUAAUCAGCACAUCAAAGGGGCAUUUGCAUUUUUUUAUUCUUAAGUUUCUAAGGCGGUAAAAUGAAUUGCUGGCUGUACAAAGCUGAUCGUUCUUCUAGCUGUAAAACUCAAGAGCCUUGCUCAGAAGCCUCGAAAUCGUACCUUAUUCAUCUCACCUACACUGCCAGUAUGGGCUGCUGACUGUGAAAGUCUCCUCUUCCAAGCAUCCUCCCUGCAAACCAGCUAGGCAGGGAUAUUUUCCCCACGUCUCACUGCGCCGUCGUCCGGCUUGGUGACUACAUCAAAGGAAGCAAAUCCACGGGCGGAUGAAUCGUCACCAAACCUGACCCAGAAAUCUUAAAAUAUACUGCCACACUGACUUGGAAGAGGAUGGACAAACACAUUUACCAAACCAAUGUGAUAACAAAUUAUGUUCGUAUUCUGUAGUUGGCUUACAGAAUGGUGUCAUCUUGCAGGAUGUCUGAAGCACAGAACACUUUUUUCCCUUUUACAAUAAAG